GAUGAACGCUGGCGGCGUGCCUAAUACAUGCAAGUCGAGCGAACAGACGAGGAGCUUGCUCCUCUGACGUUAGCGGCGGACGGGUGAGUAACACGUGGAUAACCUACCUAUAAGACUGGGAUAACUUCGGGAAACCGGAGCUAAUACCGGAUAAUAUAUUGAACCGCAUGGUUCAAUAGUGAAAGACGGUUUUGCUGUCACUUAUAGAUGGAUCCGCGCCGCAUUAGCUAGUUGGUAAGGUAACGGCUUACCAAGGCGACGAUGCGUAGCCGACCUGAGAGGGUGAUCGGCCACACUGGAACUGAGACACGGUCCAGACUCCUACGGGAGGCAGCAGUAGGGAAUCUUCCGCAAUGGGCGAAAGCCUGACGGAGCAACGCCGCGUGAGUGAUGAAGGUCUUCGGAUCGUAAAACUCUGUUAUUAGGGAAGAACAAAUGUGUAAGUAACUAUGCACGUCCUGACGGUACCUAAUCAGAAAGCCACGGCCAACUACGUG
rnacentral:rRNA from 1 species